AAUGUAUCAAGAGUGCGGGGAGAGUUCUGGCUCCAUGAUCCGCCGGCAACGUGUCGAAAGACAACGUGCCACAUCCAGCCCUUGCAGGGAAGAUAAUUU
rnacentral:ncRNA from 2 species